UACGAAGGGGGCUAGCGUUGCUCGGAAUCACUGGGCGUAAAGCGCACGUAGGCGGAUUGCUAAGUCAGGGGUGAAAUCCUGGAGCUCAACUCCAGAACUGCCUUUGAUACUGGGGAUCUCGAGUCCGGAAGAGGUGAGUGGAACUGCGAGUGUAGAGGUGAAAUUCGUAGAUAUUCGCAAGAACACCAGUGGCGAAGGCGGCUCACUGGUCCGGUACUGACGCUGAGGUGCGAAAGCGUGGGGAGCAAACAGG
rnacentral:rRNA from 1 species